rnacentral:tRNA from 1 species
GGAGAUAUAGCUUAGUGGAAAAGUGCUUACCUAAUAUUUAUGAGGCCCUGGGUUCCAUUCCCAGCAUCACAA